AAGUCGAGCGGAUGAGUGGAGCUNGCUNCAUGAUUNAGGCGNNGGACGGGUGANUAAUGCCUAGGAAUCUGNCUGGUAGUGGGGGACAACGUUUCGAAAGGAACGCUAAUACCGCAUACGUCCUACGGGAGAAAGUGGGGGAUCUUCGGACCUCACGCUAUCAGAUGAGCCUAGGUCGGAUUAGCUAGUUGGCGAGGUAAAGGCUCACCAAGGCGACGAUCCGUAACUGGUCUGAGAGGAUGAUCAGUCACACUGGAACUGAGACACGGUCCAGACUCCUACGGGAGGCAGCAGUGGGGAAUAUUGGACAAUGGGCGAAAGCCUGAUCCAGCCAUGCCGCGUGUGUGAAGAAGGUCUUCGGAUUGUAAAGCACUUUAAGUUGGGAGGAAGGGCAGUAAGUUAAUACCUUGCUGUUUUGACGUUACCGACAGAAUAAGCACCGGCUAACUUCGUGCCAGCAGCCGCGGUAAUACGAAGGGUGCAAGCGUUAAUCGGAAUUACUGGGCGUAAAGCGCGCGUAGGUGGUUCGUUAAGUUGGAUGUGAAAGCCCCGGGCUCAACCUGGGAACUGCAUCCAAAACUGGCGAGCUAGAGUAUGGCAGAGGGUG
rnacentral:rRNA from 1 species